rnacentral:rRNA from 1 species
AUUGAACGCUGGCGGCAGGCCUAACACAUGAAAGUCGAACGAGUGGCGGACGGGUGAGUAAGGUCUGGGAAACUGACUGAUGGAGGGGGAUAACUACUGGAAAAGGUAGCUAAUACCGCAUACAAUCAGAUGUGCCCAGAUGGGUUUAGAUUGUGGGUGGGGUAACGGCUCUCCAAGGCGAGGAUCCCUAGCUGGUCUGAGAGGAUGACCACCCACACUGGAACUGAGACACCGUCCAGACUCCUCCGGUCGGCAGCAGUGGGGAAUAUUGCAACAUGGGCGCAAGCCUGAUUCAGCCAUGCCGCGUGUAUGGAGAAUGCCUUCCGGUUGUAAAGUACUUUCAGCGGCGAGGCGUGACCCGCAGAAGAAGCACCGACUAACUCCGUGCCAGCAGCCGCGGUAAUAC